rnacentral:rRNA from 1 species
AUAUUCCUACGGGGGGCAGCAGUGGGGAAUAUUGCACAAUGGGCGCAAGCCUGACCCAGCAACGCCGCGUGAAGGAAGAAGGCUUUCGGGUUGUAAACUUCUUUUCUCAGGGACGAAGAAAGUGACGGUACCUGAGGAAUAAGCCACGGCUAACUACGUGCCAGCAGCCGCGGUAAUACGUAGGUGGCAAGCGUUAUCCGGAUUUAUUGGGUGUAAAGGGCGUGUAGGCGGGAGCGCAAGUCAGAUGUGAAAAAUCAGGGCUCAACCCUGAGCCUGCAUUUUAAACUGUGUUUCUUGAGUGCUGG